rnacentral:rRNA from 1 species
GACGAACUUUGGCGGCGUGCUUAACACAUGCAAGUCGAACGGAAAGGCCCUGCUUUUGUGGGGUGCUCGAGUGGCGAACGGGUGAGUAACACGUGAGUAACCUGCCCUUGACUUUGGGAUAACUUCAGGAAACUGGGGCUAAUACCGGAUAGGAGCUCCUGCUGCAUGGUGGGGGUUGGAAAGUUUCGGCGGUUGGGGAUGGACUCGCGGCUUAUCAGCUUGUUGGUGGGGUAGUGGCUUACCAAGGCUUUGACGGGUAGCCGGCCUGAGAGGGUGACCGGCCACAUUGGGACUGAGAUACGGCCCAGACUCCUACGGGAGGCAGCAGUGGGGAAUAUUGCACAAUGGGCGGAAGCCUGAUGCAGCAACGCCGCGUGCGGGAUGACGGCCUUCGGGUUGUAAACCGCUUUCGCCUGUGACGAAGCGUGAGUGACGGUAAUGGGUAAAGAAGCACCGGCUAACUACGUGCCAGCAGCCGCGGUGAUACGUAGGGUGCGAGCGUUGUCCGGAUUUAUUGGGCGUAAAGGGCUCGUAGGUGGUUGAUCGCGUCGGAAGUGUAAUCUUGGGGCUUAACCCUGAGCGUGCUUUCGAUACGGGUUGACUUGAGGAAGGUAGGGGAGAAUGGAAUUCCUGGUGGAGCGGUGGAAUGCGCAGAUAUCAGGAGGAGCACCAGUGGCGAAGGCGGUUCUCUGGGCCUUUCCUGACGCUGAGGAGCGAAAGCGUGGGGAGCGAACAGGCUUAGAUACCCUGGUAGUCCACGCUGUAAACGGUGGGUACUAGGUGUGGGGUCCAUUCCACGGGUUCCGUGCCGUAGCUAACGCUUUAAGUACCCCGCCUGGGGAGUACGGCCGCAAGGCUAAAACUCAAAGGAAUUGACGGGGCCCCGCACAAGCGGCGGAGCAUGCGGAUUAAUUCGAUGCAACGCGUAGAACCUUACCUGGGUUUGACAUGGAUCGGGAGUGCUCAGAGAUGGGUGUGCCUCUUUUGGGGUCGGUUCACAGGUGGUGCAUGCCUGUCGUCAGCUCGUGUCGUGAGAUGUUGGGUUAAGUCCCGCAACGAGCGCAACCCUUGUUCACUGUUGCCAGCACGUUAUGGUGGGGACUCAGUGGAGACCGCCGGGGUCAACUCGGAGGAAGGUGGGGAUGACGUCAAGUCAUCAUGCCCCUUAUGUCCAGGGCUUCACGCAUGCUACAAUGGCUGGUACAGAGAGUGGCGAGCCUGUGAGGGUGAGCGAAUCUCGGAAAGCCGGUCUCAGUUCGGAUUGGGGUCUGCAACUCGACCUCAUGAAGUCGGAGUCGCUAGUAAUCGCAAAUCAGCAACGCUGCGGUGAAUACGUUCCCGGGGC